GAGUUUGAUUCUGGCUCAGGAUGAACGCUGGCGGCGUGCUUAACACAUGCAAGUCGAACGAAGCGGGAAGAAAGAAGUUUUUCGAAAUGGAUUUUUUCUUUGCUUAGUGGCGGACGGGUGCGUAACACGUAGGUAACCUGCCCUGUGCUUGGGAAUAACUCCGGGAAACCGGUGCUAAUGCCGAAUAAUAUCGCCUGUCGGCAUCGAGAGGCGAUCAAAGAAUUUCGGCACAGGAUGGGCCUGCGCCGGAUUAGCUGGUUGGUGAGGUAACGGCUCACCAAGGCGACGAUCCGUAGCCGACCUGAGAGGGUGAUCGGCCACACUGGAACUGAGACACGGUCCAGACUCCUACGGGAGGCAGCAGUGGGGAAUAUUGCACAAUGGGGGAAACCCUGAUGCAGCAACGCCGCGUGAGCGAUGAAGGCUUUCGAGUCGUAAAGCUCUGUCCUAUGGGAAGAUGAUGACG
rnacentral:rRNA from 1 species